UGUUACUGGAUCCACAGUGAUGAAUGUGACCACAACUUCGGCAUUUGCUAAUCUAACUGGACUAAUACCCGGAAGCAUGUAUACCCUCCAAGUUGUGGCCUUGGCUCAGGACAAUAUGACUAAAGGAGAUGCAGUGGUAAUCGCAGCAUUCACAAAACCCAGCACAGUUAGCAAUUUAAAUAUUGGUAACAGCAACACUACCUCCAUUUUUCUUAGCUGGUCACCACCCAGUGGAAGUGCAGCCAGCUACAGAGUGGAAGUCACUGGAGUGUCUGUCACUAACAUGACCACUAACUCAGCCUUUGCUACUGUGACUGGAUUGACACCAGGGAGCAUGUAUACACUGAAUGUUUUGGCCUUGGCUGGGGACAGUGUGACGCAAGGAGAUCCAGUAACAAUUACAACUUAUACAAAACCCGGUACAGUUAGCAAUUUAUAUGUCUCUGACAUCAAAAGUACCUCCAUUUCUCUCAGCUGGUCUCCCCCAGGUGGAAAUGUGGCCAGCUACAAAGUGGUAGUUACUGGAGCAACAGCCACCAAUGUAACAACAGCCUCAAACUUUGCUAUUGUAACUGGACUAACACAAGGGAGCAUGUAUACACUGAAGGUUUUGGCCUUGGCUGGGGACAAUGUGACACAAGGAGAUGCAGUGACAAUAACGGCUUAUACAACUUCGGUCACCCUUCGCUAUCAGUUGUCUCUUCUUGAUUCAGAAGCAGUUAAUGAUCAAAUAAAGACUCUGAUACUGAAAAAGUUAAGCAGUCUUCUUCAGAACCAGCUGCCACCAAAUUCCUUCUCAAUAUCUUUUAAAGGAUGAAGGGACUGUAUAUUAAAACAGCAUCAACCAAGUGACGUUAUUCUUGUUAUACAACUUGAAACAUAUGACACAUUAUGUAUUCAAUUUUAAAUAACAUUGUAUAAUAGUGUUUAUUUUCUUACUUUUUAAAAGAAGUGUAUAAUUCCAUUAUUAUUGUAAAUAAUUAUAUGUAAAUGAAUGUCUGAGCUUGAUUGCAAUAGUAAAAAGUUCUUAUGGUUCCAUAACUGUUUGAAUUUGCCUGGCAUUGUUCAAAGGCAUUUAUCUUCUAAUAAGGCAAGACACAAUACUUAAUGAUCAGCUUCAUUCUACUUUGCAGGAUUAAUUUUAAGUUAGGAAAAGCACCUUCCAGCAUGAAAAAAUAUCAUAUCUCAAUAGCAAGUGAGGUCAACAAAUAAUUUGACAAAUUUAUGCUCUGAUUUUCGCAGUGUCCAGAUAGAAAAUCAGUUACAAAGGCAUGAGGCAACAACGAGGCUUGUACCUCACCUGAUGAAGUUAGAUGUUAGACGUGUGGUGGACACAACACCAAGGCACACUUUUCUGGGUCAUUCAUGUUUACUUUCUGCAUUAGUUCUGUAUACAGGAUUAACUUUAUAUCAACUUUUGGUCAUUUAUCAGGUGAAGAUGAAAAAAUAUCCAGGAAAGGCACUGCAGAAAGUGAUCAUGAGAUUUUCUUAUAAUCUGCCGAUUUUCUAGUAUUGAAAGGUUUUGCCACCCUGCAUAUGCAAAAGGGAAAAAGUAAAAGUUACAUUCUUGCUGGAAAAAAAGGAAAGUGGACCCAACUAUCAAAAGGGCAAUGAUAAUGGUUUGUUGAAAUCAUUUACCAAAUAAAAUGCAAUAGAGUAAUAAUGAAUGAAACUUUUAUUGCCCCUAAAAUUUGUUUUACAUGUAAUUGCACAACUGUAAAAAGUGAAGCUUAAUAAAAUUAGGUUGUGAGAGUUUUAGAAGUUUUUUAGGGUGGCAAACAAAGAAUAUUGCUCCCCAAAGGUUAUUCCAUAGCCAAACCUGCUAUCUCUUUCCUCGGCCUAACUUCAUCUGCUGCCCAUCCGCGCUAUCUUCUACGGCUCCUUCUACGAAGUUCUAGGUCUUCUUAUCUGCCUUAUAUACUGUUCUGACUCACGCUGCAAGUGCUGCCUGACACUGCUUAUUUAGGGUCAGAGGUAACAACAGCUGCACUCACUUUUCCA